rnacentral:lncRNA from 1 species
CGAACAUCAACCUAAUUAAAGCUGGGGUUUCGCAAGGAAGUAUCCUCGGACCACUUUCUUACACCCUCUAUACGGCAGACAUACCAAUAAACGCAAACUGCAGUCUUAACAUUUGCAGCUGACAUGGCCAUGCUUACCAUAAACACGGACCCGCAACACGCAAUUCAAUCGUUACAACAACAAAUCGACUCUCUUGACGAACGGUUACGUAAUAGGAAGAUCAAGAAAUUCCGCAAGUAACGACGGUCAAGUAUUUGGGACUACAUCUAGAUUCCAAACUAUCAUAGAAAAAGCAUAUAAAUGCCAAAAUUGAACAAAUUCGUCUAAAAAGAAGUCCAAUUACUUGGCUAACUGGUUAAAAGUCUAAACUACAUAGAAAAAAAAUAAUAAUUUACAAAACAAUAAUAAACCCAAUCUGGACCUAUGGAAUACCGCUAUGGGGUAUAGCGGCGAAAAGUCACACUGCUGAGCUCGCAUAUUUAUUCAUAAUCCUACGCACAAUCGUGAAUGCUCCAUGGUACGUCCGUAACGAAGAAUUAAGGAAGGACUUAAAUAUUCCUACAAUACGAAGAAAUAUUCCCACGAAAAGAAGAAAUAGCCAAGACAACCUGCAGAUACAAAAGAAGGAUUGAUACGCACAUAAACCCGCUAGCCAACGAUAACUACAACCAAUAUAUCCCUAGAAGGCUCAAAAGAAUCCACCCAGGAGACCUAGUAAAAA